CUGAACAGGGCGAAAUAGUCAGUCGGAGUAGACCCGAAACCGGGUGAUCUAUCCAUGUCCAGGUUGAAGUUGCCGUAAAAGGCAAUGGAGGACCGAACCCACAUCCGUUGAAAAGGGUGGGGAUGAGGUGUGGAUAGGGGAGAAAUUCCAAUCGAACCCGGAGAUAGCUGGUUCUCCUCGAAAUAGCUUUAGGGCUAGCCUCAUGAGAGUCUUAUGGAGGUAGAGCACUGAAUUGCCUAGGGGGCGUCAAAGCUUACCAAAGCAUAUCAAACUCCGAAUGCCAUCAAGAUGAUUCAUGGGAGUCAGACCAUACGAGAUAAGUUGGAUGGUCAAAAGGGAAAGAGCCCAGACCUACAGCUAAGGUCCCAAAGUGCGUGUUAAGUGGAAAAGGAUGUGGGAUUUCGAAGACAACUAGGAUGUUGGCUCAGAAGCAGCCAUUCAUUCAAAGAGUGCGUAAUAGCUCACUAGUCGAGAGGUCCUGCGCCGAAAAUGUCCGGGGCUAAAACACACUGCCGAAGCUUUGGAAUUGAAUUAAUUCAAUUGGUAGAGGAGCAUUCUUAAAGGGACGAAGCAGUACCGUAAGGAGCUGUGGACUUUUAAGAAGAGAGAAUGCCGGAAUGAGUAGCGAGAGGAAGGUGGGAAUCCUUCCGGCCGAAUAUCUAAGGUUUCCAGAGUAAAGCUGAUCUGCUCUGGGUAAGUCGGGGCCUAAGGCGAGGUCGAAAGACGUAGUCGAUGGAUAACAGGUUGAAAUUCCUGUACUAUCCUGUAACAGAACUGUGGGGACACAGGCAGAGAGCGUGAGCCGGGAAUGGAAAGACCGGUACAAGCGAGGUAGGAAAAGAGUUGGCAAAUCCGCUCUUUAAUCUGAAGACGUGAUGUGGACUGAAAAUAAGUAGGGAAGCACGUGAGCUGACUGUCAAGAAAAGCCGCUAUUGUUUGCAGGAUACCCGUACCGUAAACCGACACAGGUGGAUGAGGAGAGAAUCCUAAGGCCGACGGGAGAAGCAUUGUUAAGGAACUCGGCAAAAUGACUCCGUAACUUCGGGAGAAGGAGUGCCAGUAAGAUGGCCGCAGAGAAUUGGCCCAAGCAACUGUUUAGCAAAAACACAGGUCUAUGCAAAACCGAAAGGUGAGGUAUAUGGGCUGACGCCUGCCCGGUGCUGGAAGGUUAAGGGGAGAGGUUAGCGCAAGCGAAGCUUUGAACUUAAGCCCCAGUAAACGGCGGCCGUAACUAUAACGGUCCUAAGGUAGCGAAAUUCCUUGUCGGGUAAGUUCCGACCCGCACGAAAGGCGUAAUGAUUUGAGCGCUGUCUCGACAAUGCAUCCGGUGAAAUUGAAGUACCAGUGAAGAUGCUGGUUACCUGCGCCAGGACGGAAAGACCCCAUGGAGCUUUACUCCAGUUUGAUACUGGGAUUCGGCAUGGUAUGUACAGGAUAGGUGGGAGACUGAGAAGGUAUGACGUCAGUUGUACCGGAGUCGCUGUUGGGAUACCACCCUUACCAUGUUGGAUUUCUAACCUGUGGCCGUAAGCCGGUCAGGGGACAAUGUCAGGCGGGGAGUUUGACUGGGGCGGUCGCCUCCGAAAGGGUAUCGGAGGCGCUCAAAGGUUCCCUCAGAAUGGUUGGAAACCAUUCGAAGAGUGCAAAGGCAGAAGGGAGCUUGACUGCGACACCGACGGGUGGAGCAGGUACGAAAGUAGGACUUAGUGAUCCGGUGGUAUAAAGUGGGAUUGCCAUCGCUCAACGGAUAAAAGCUACCCUGGGGAUAACAGGCUUAUCACUCCCAAGAGUUCACAUCGACGGAGUGGUUUGGCACCUCGAUGUCGGCUCAUCGCAUCCUGGGGCUGUAGUAGGUCCCAAGGGUUGGGCUGUUCGCCCAUUAAAGCGGUACGCGAGCUGGGUUCAGAACGUCGUGAGACAGUUCGGUCCCUAUCCGGCGUGGGCGUAGGAUAUUUGAGAGGAGCUGUCCUUAGUACGAGAGGACCGGGAUGGACUGGCCGCUGGUGUAUCUGUUGUCUUACCAAAGGCAUAGCAGAGUAGCCAAGCCGGGAAGGGAUAAACGCUGAAGGCAUCUAAGCGUGAAGCCCCCCUCAAGAUGAGAUAUCCCAUACGCAAGUAGUAAGACCCCUUGAAGACGACGAGGUAGAUAGGGCAGAGGUGGAAGUGUGGUAACACAUGGAGCUGACUGUUACUAAUAGGUCGAGGGCAUAACCAA
rnacentral:rRNA from 1 species